ACGAACGCUGGCGGCGUGCUUAACCCCUGCAAGUCGUACGGUAAGGCCCUUUCGGGGGUACACGAGUGGCGAACGGGUGAGUAACACGUGAGUAACCUGCCCACAACUUUGGGAUAACGCUAGGAAACUGGUGCUAAUACUGGAUAUGUGCUCCUGCUGCAUGGUGGGGGUUGGAAAGCUCCGGCGGUUGUGGAUGGACUCGCGGCCUAUCAGCUUGUUGGUGGGGUAGUGGCCUACCAAGGCGGCGACGGGUAGCCGGCCUGAGAGGGUGACCGGCCACAUUGGGACUGAGAUACGGCCCAGACUCCUACGGGAGGCAGCAGUGGGGAAUAUUGCACAAUGGGCGCAAGCCUGAUGCAGCAACGCCGCGUGCGGGAUGACGGCCUUCGGGUUGUAAACCGCUUUCAGCAGGGACGAAGCUUUUUGUGACGGUACCUGCAGAAGAAGCACCGGCUAACUACGUG
rnacentral:rRNA from 1 species